rnacentral:lncRNA from 1 species
ACUUGAUGGAGAGUGCAAGAGAACACAACAAAAGAGAUUAAUUGCGCUCUUCUCCAGCCAAUAGAAAACAGCGUCCAACUCCAAGCAAGAUGCACAUACAAACGGCAGCCGAGUCAUUAACCCGUUGUUAUUACGGAAAUUUAAAUACUCAAACACACGUAUUUCGAGAAUGAGUAAUAUCCGCCCGCAGAUAAAAUGAUUAAGAAAUGAGUGCAACCUAAUCACAUUAGCUGCAUCCUCCACUCGAUGCCAAACACGAUCGUGAACAAGCAGGCAACAAAGCGGGCUCCAAAUUGGAAUGAUCUGGGCGAGUCCGUCUCAGCCACUCAAACAAGUGGUGCCUAUUUCUCCACCAACUCCAACCACAGAAAAAUGUCUCAACUCGCAAUCUAGUCAUAAACCCUCCCAUUUCUCCAACUCAUCCGGGCCCCACGUAUCGUCUUUUGACAUGUUCCGAUGUUGGGCCGCCUUGUAGCUUGUUUUUCUACGACCCUUCCACGCAUACGUACGACUCGUGUAAUAUAAGAUGAGGAUAAUGCUGGUGCGGGCCAUUACAGUAUCUGUUUGUUACCAAUCACAAGCUGACACGUUGCAUUCUCUGUAUUCUCUUUGUACAGAAUAUACGCUGACGUGCAUUAUCUGUACUCUCCGUAUUAUUCCACCACAGUUUAUUCUCUGCGGUCUGCAUAAUUGAUAUUCUAUGUAUUCAUGUUCUGCAGUUCUGGUCCAU